GUAUAUGAGGGUGAUCUGGCUGCGACAUCUGUCACCCCAUUGAUCUCCAGGGUUGAUUUGGCUGAUCUGGCUGGCUAGGCGGGUAUCCCCUUCCUCCCUCACCACUCCAUGUGUGUCCCUCCCAAAGCUGUGCGCUAGGUGGAAGAUGACGGCCUUCCUCGAAUAGAGACAGCGUGGUCUUCGGUAGAGGGUAUACGAGUAGCUAUGCUCCCCUGCUAGAACUUCCAAACAAACUCUUAAAUAUUGUUGACUGUAAACCCUAUUGAUUUGAUGUACCUGGGGCCCAGAUUCAUCUUAGGAACCUAUGUGACCUCUGCAUCCCUGUAGAU
rnacentral:snRNA from 1 species